UACGUAGAGAUUUUGAUACUGUU
rnacentral:siRNA from 1 species